AUACGAAGGGGGCUAGCGUUGUUCGGAAUUACUGGGCGUAAAGCGCACGUAGGCGGAUAUUUAAGUCAGGGGUGAAAUCCCAGAGCUCAACUCUGGAACUGCCUUUGAUACUGGGUAUCUUGAGUAUGGAAGAGGUAAGUGGAAUUCCGAGUGUAGAGGUGAAAUUCGUAGAUAUUCGGAGGAACACCAGUGGCGAAGGCGGCUUACUGGUCCAUUACUGACGCUGAGGUGCGAAAGCGUGGGGAGCAAACAGGAUUAGAUACCCUAGUAGUCC
rnacentral:rRNA from 1 species